CGAUGGCUUAAUUUUGCUUUGGCAUGACAAAUGGUUGGUUGAUCUACUAUUUGUUUAGCUCAAGUGUCUGGAUGAAGGCAAUAGAUUCAAAUUUCCUUUCAUAGGAACUGAUUUUUUAAUAUCUUCACAAUCUAUUAGAUCUUGGUCAAAUACUCCACAUUCUCGACCUAAAAUGGAAUGAGUGGAGGGAACUCCAAACAAUUCACCCCAAAAGGAUAUGAGGUUGCCAUAUUUGCUCAUCAAUCUACACUAAAGUUUCCCUCUUUACAAAUAUGGAGGAGACAGACAUCCCAAGAGGGAGGAAAAAAAGAGAGGCAUCGUUUCCAAGACUAGAAAACAAAGAGAAAACAUUAUAGAGAAAAUGUAAACCAAUGCAAAAACUUGUUGGCAUAUUUCUCUAUCGUUCUCUUUUAAAUUAGCCAUCACCCCUUAUUUUUAUAGUGUGAGAGAGUACAAAACUAAUUAAACAACAAAAUAAAAGAGAUAAAAGUAGCGAUUUUUCCCACUUAAAACAUAAUAUUAUUCUUCUCUUCCUUGACUAGUUGCACUUGAAUUUAGCCUUCUCACAAAUCGCCCCUUCAUUCUAGGCCGUUGAUCAGCAUUGACUUUUCUAACUUGAUAUCUGAUCUUCUUAGAGAAAAGACGCGUACGUCUCUUUUCCUUGUAGCGUAGUACGCUAGCCUCUCUUACUCCAUUUUCUGAAAAUAAAUCUAUCUGCGCCAAUCUGGCAGCGACGUCGUUUCCUUCGGAUCCCAAUAUAUCGUCCGUAAACGGAGAUCCGCGGCCUGACCAAGCGUCCAAAACGCUGCCGUAGUUUAAUUUCAAUAACAAACCAGAAUUCAGCUGCGGAAUUGAUUUCUCCUCCUUGGCCAAUUCCGAAUUCUUCAAUUCCACAGCCGGUUUCUCUACCUUCUUCUUCUUUUUCUCGCCGGAAUUCGAAUUCCUCUUUACCUUCGGCUUCGAAUCUGAAGGUUUGAAGUUGUUGUUGUUGUUGUUGUUAAGUCUCGGCGAGAUUUGAAGCAUAUCGACGAUUGGAAAAUUCCACCAAUUGCCUUCAUCGCCAUUUCUCAAUGCUCUUACUCCUUUUUUAAUUCCAUUUCCAAAUCCGAGCUGGAAUUUGCCGCCGAAAUGAAAUCCCAUUGGAUUCCCAUCUUUAUUAGACCAGACCUCGGCGUUUUCAUUGCUUACUCUUAGAUUUCCCAUUAUACCAUCGAUUCCCUCCUCGAUUUCCUCAUCGAGAAUUGACUCAGCAUCGAAAUCUUCCUGAUACCCAUCACAGAAUUCCAUGGAAUUCCCACUCUGGCAAGAUUUGUUGUCACAAGAAAUCAUGAAAUUUGCGACUUUUGAUUCAUUUACAAUACUGGGUUUCCCACUUUCGAUGGGUUGAUGAAGAAGAAAAUCAGAGUCGUGGAGAACUCGAAAAGGCCAUAGUAAUUCCGGGGAGGACUCGUCGAGUAUAAGAGUAUCCUGAUGAGGUUUGAUGAAUUUGCGAGGUUUGGUGAGGUGCUUGGUGGAGAAGAUGUUUGGGUAGGCAGUAGACAGAAGAGCCGCUGCUUCAUUGUAGGUUUGGUUGGGACGUUUUCGAGGAGUUCGUGGUUUUCUUGUAGAUAUUGCUAGUGGGGAAUUGCUAGAUUCAGAGAGAGUAGAAGAUGGAGAAGAAGUGUGUGAAGUUCUUGUUAAUGUUGAUGGUGAUUUCACAAUUUCUAAAUCGAACCCAUAGGUUCUACUACUACCUCCACUCAAACAAGGAGAAGACAUAGUAAUUAGAAGAGAGAAAAUGGAUUUCACAAUUUGGAGAAUUCAAAGAAAACCCAGAAUUUGCAGGAGGAAUCCCAUAUCUGAAUUCAAUUCAAAGUUUAAGACAAAGUUGGAAUUAGGAAGCAAUUUUCAGACUGAAAAUUCACUUUUUGAUGUGAGAAUUGAGAAAAAAAGGGGAGAGUAGUAAAACCCUAAACCCUGAAAAGUACAAACUAAGAAAAGUUCUGAGGCUUAAAAAAGAAAGGAGAAAAGGCCAAGAGUCAAUAUAUACAAAUAUAUCUUAAAUAUUCAAGGAAAACCCAAAACC
rnacentral:misc_RNA from 1 species